GAUGAGAAAAUGGGCGAUUGUUAUUGGUGAAGGACCGAAUAGUAGAAGUAGAAUUGGUGUUUGUUGCAAGCUUUUUCCAUCUUCUAGUAAAUAUAAUUCCUGUACUGGACAUGUUGUGGGAAUUGUGAUGAUGAUGAUGAAUUCAAGGAUAAAGAAUGAAUUAUAUUUGAUUUGGAUUAAAAGAUAAGAGAUUUGGAUAGGGAAAGAAACGAGAGAAAGAUGGAGAGAUUGAGAUCUGGAUAUAAUUAAAUUUUCCUGCUGUGUGUAGUGUAAAAAGAGUCGAUCAGUUUCUCUGUUUAUGAAUUGUUAUUAUUCUGAGGAUCGAUUUGUUAUUUAAAAAUUGAGAUUCGAUCGAUCGAAGGAGCGAGAGUGGUGGAGAUGAGAGAGAGAGAGAGAGGUAAAUGCGGGAUAUGGAGUGUAAAGAAGGAGGAGACGCCCAUGUUACUAUCAUUCUAAUCUUUCUUUCCCUUCGGGAUAUGGUGGUAAUUUAAAUUAUUUAACUCGAGCUACUCGGCUCGGCUCGAAUAAAGCUCGGGCUCGGCUCGAGCUCGAGACGAGCCUUAAAUCUGUUCAAGCUCGGCUCGUUUUACAAGAUGAGCGAGCCCGAGCCGAGCUUUUUUCGAGCCGAACACGAGCCGAGCUCGAGCUGCUCAGCUCACAUAACACCCCUAUUGUGGGGGUGUUGUGGUCUUUUAAGAAGUGGAUGAGCAUCUUUUAAUUUGUUGAUACCAUGGUUUCCCGUUUCCCUGAUGUUUUAAUGAUGUUGAGGGUAUUUGAGACACGUCGUGUGAGGCAACUUUGUCUCAGGUGCUGCCGUGUAUCCGCAUCUGUUAUUGUUGGUUUUUUUUUUUCCAAGACACAUUAUGCAUUGCUGGAAGCUAUAUGGUUUUUAUCCUCAAUGAAAAGCAUAAUGCAUUGGACCAAAUGUGAUUCUUGACCUAAACAACCAAUGCAUUGUGCAUUCCCGAUUCACCUUGUUUUUGACAUCAGUGCUAAUGUGUAAUGGAUUAUGUGUUGUCUGGAACCAGAAGCACCAAGCCUUUUGUCUUGAUUGACUAAUGCAUAAUUGAUAAUUCAUCGCAAAAUGCAUAUGCAUUGCUAGAAGCACCUUGGUUUUUGCCUUGAAUGGCCAAUGCAUUAUGCAUCUUGCAGCCCGAUAUUGCAUUAGCUUUGAGAGAGGUUUAAUGUUUUUUACACAUUUUACUGAUCUUACCGCUGAUAGUUUGAAGAUAGGCACUCAGUCAAGAACCAUUGGUCAUUUGUGCAUCCUCGACGAGCACACAAGUACUUGGUGGUCCGUGGUCUGUAUUUUCAUUCCAGUUAAAAUUGAUAACAAUUCCAUGUUUUGUUUGUUUCAGGUUUAUGUCCAAUAAAUGGUUUGGGCAAUUGUUUUUAGUGGGAUCUUGGUUGGUAAAUUGACGUCUUAGUGGAGCAGGUUAAGCUGCAUAUAAGAUGAUCGGCCUAUGGCUUUCCAUUUUCUACUAGAGUGCUACUCCUGCUUUUAUAAAGUUGGGGAAGGAGAAUCUCAUCCAUCUCAAAAACUACCCAAUUGGUGAAGACUUGUGAGUAUAGUUGUGCUAUUUCCUCAUAGUUGUGUUAUUGUAGUUUUUAACAUCAUUGUUGCUGCUCUCAAAUUUUUCAUAUUAUUUAUUAGUUUGAUCGUAAAUGAACUUUGGUUUUAUAAGUUUGGCUUUAAAUUUUUUUUGGAUGUUAAGUAAACUAAAUGAGGCACAUAACUACAUACGCAGAUAUAAUUGUCACAUGAGUCAUAAUUAUAGGAACUUGUAUUAAUCUCAGGCGUAGUCAUCAUCACUCGAAAAACUCUGUUUCUGACUUAUGUUAGCUAGAGUUCUAGUGUCACUAUAUCCUUGCCGCGUUAAAGUUUACUCAUACUUUGUUGUGGAUUCAAGAAUUUGCUUCAAACUUGCCAGAUACUUGGACACUGAUACUAUUUCAUUGCUUCCGCAACGUCUUAUGUGGGUGCACAUAGAAUAUAACAAGUAUUAAGUACUUAAUUUUGUGGCUUAACGAACUGUGAUGUGUUCCACUACAUUAUCAGCCAGUAGGGACUACUUGAACAAGUCAGGAGUAGAAUGUCCAGAUUUAUUCAAAACCAUUCACAUAAUUAGUUGCGAAAUCAGCAUAUGUUUUAUUUGCGUUUAUCUCUGUAACUCUAGAAUGGUGAUAAUUUAUUCUUGUUCGUAGGAGUAGUUCUCUCCUUACAAACCUUGUGUACACUGAUGUAACAAUUGGUUUCUGACGCAAUUCUAGAAAUGAACUUUUCUGUCUAUAAGUUUUCUUUAAUGCUAUCGUGAAAUGAAUUAACUGUGUUUUAUUUUCUUCUUUGUAAUCUUACUCAUCUCUUUGUUGUCUACAGAUCUUGAACUUCAGAGGAUCCAAAAAAGAUAGUGCGGGGAGAGGCAAGAAGAAAUUUCAGAAAGUGGCUAUAUGUGUUAAAAACACUGUUCAAUUUUCUUGAACUCACUACAGACCGAGUCCAUAUGAUAGUUACAGGGAAGUCAGAGAAGAGGAGUUUAAAUGGCAGGAAGAAAUUUUUUGGAAGCAAGCUUGCAAAGAAACAUUAGGCUGGCUGAGUAUACAAUGCUGGAUCGAGAUAUGAUAGUUGCUGGGAAGAAGAACCUCACUGAAUUCUGAGUUGCAUGUUGUGAAGAUAUAGUAAGUAACCUUUCUUCUGAGGUUUAUCUUGUUUUGCUAAUAAUUGAUUGAUGAAGACUGCAAUUUAUAGAAAUUCUAAGUAAUGGAGAUUGCUAAUGUGGUUGAAGCUUACCUUUAAUAGUUAAUACCAAAACGUAACUGAUCCACUACCAUCUUUCCUGUCUAAUGCUGUUGGAGAUGUUUAAUUGAUGUUUUGGUAGCUUAUUUUCUGCUUGGCAAUCCUUGCAUUUCUAUUUAUUUAUUUAUUAUUAUUUUCUUAAUUUUGAAAUAUCUACUCUAAUCUAUAUUCUCUACUUCAGUAGUUCAGUGUUAGUUAUUUGAUUCUUCGAAAAAAAAAAAAAAAAAAACCUUGGCAAAUUUACAUAUAGAAACUUGGCAGUGUUUGUAUAUAGUAAAAUAAAAUGCAGAGAAAGUAAUGAAAGAAAAAAGCUUGCUAGCAUAAUAUUAGUAAGAUAAUAAAUGAAGUUCCAGUCAAACGUUUAGGUUCCAUAUGCACCUAGUGGGCUUCCAUUAAAUUACUAUCAAGAUAUGAAUAUAACUAGUACAUAGAUAACAUGGCUUCUUCAGUUGUAAGCUGCUUAAGAUAGAAAUGGUGUCUGACUUGGUGUUCACUUGAGGCACCAACUACAAGUGCAUGUUGUCCGAAAACCAACUUCCUCUGACCGUGUUCAUCGACCACAUUCAAAUCUUUACACACAUCUACUUUAAGCUUCACAGUCUCAGCCUUCCCACUCUUCACGUCAACCCUAUCAAAGGCUAUUAACUGCCUAUUUGGAGAUCCUUUAACUGCAUCUGAAGUGGGUGGCUUCCAAAAGACUAAAACCACAUGAGAUCCAUCCAUUGUGCCAACGUUCUUUAUCCCGAUUUCAACAUCAAAUUGUAGUCCUUCACAAUUUACUUUGGAUACAUUGAUUGCUUGUCCAUUUGUGGCUGAUGUGAUGGUGUUGGGGAGGAGUGUGUUGUGUGGAUCAAGCAUGAGAGAAGACUUUAAGGGAACACUUACGGUAGUAGGAGCUGAUUUUACAAACUUGGAAUAUGUGGAGUAACUUAGUCCAUGCCCAAAUGAGUAGAUGCUUUGGCCGGUGUAGAAUCGAUAUGUUCUUCCAGGAAACGUUCUUGUUCUAUUAGCUCUCAUGUUCAUGUCUGUCAAUGGUAAUUCAUCGACAUACUUUUGUGGAUACCAAGUGACCGGCGACCUUCCACCUGAUAAAACUUAUGAAGUUAAUACAUAUGAAUAUGUUAGAAGCAGAGUUAUAAGAGUGCAGAAGAGUAACAACAACCUGGAUUAUAAUGGCCAAAUAUGACUUGAGCUAUGGCUUCUCCCCCAGAUUGACCAGGAUAACCUACCCACAGGAUUCCUACUAUUUUGCUCACAUUCUUUGCAAACGACACAUCAACAGGACCUGCUGACAUGAUAACUAAUAUAGUAGGUCCAGGUGUUGCAUUUGCUACUUGCAUGACAAGUUUCUCUUGGAGUCCUGGUAAGGUUAAGUUCACUCUAUCUAACCCUUCAGCUUCAAUAGAUUGAUCAAGACCUACAAUCAGUAUUGUUGCGUCUGCUGUAGAUGCAGCUUUAGCGGCUGAAUCAAUCAAACUUUCAUCACUACAGCUUACAUUGGCGCAACCUGGCUGGUAAGUCACAGAGGCAUAUUUCUUUAGUCCUUGUAAAGGAGUAAUAUAUCCACAAGGGAUACCUGCAUAGUUGCUUAACAUGACUUGACUAGCAUUAGCGUUGGGACCGAUAACUGCUAUGGUCUUGGUGGUGUUAGGUGACAAAGGGAGGGUGCCAUUGUUUUCUAACAAAACUAUGCCUUGCUUUGCAGCUUCAAGAGCUAACUUCUGGUUACCAUCUGUGCAUACAUCUGCAGGGCCUAGUUUUCCAAAUGGAUGUUGUGUUUGGUCGCCAUCAAAGUAACCCAAUCUCAUUAGAACAAUGUAGUUAUUUGUUAGAGCUUGGUCUACUACUGAUUCUUCUACUGUUCCCAACUUGACCGAAUUCUCUGUAUACUUGCCCAAAUAAGUCCCGCAGUUCAUGUCAAGACCUGCGCAUAGUAGUAGAGCACAGUAAUGCUUCAGUUGUUGCUUAUUAAUAGGCUUAGAUGGUAUGGAAGAAUAAACUCUAGAAUGUAUUUGGAUUAUGUUGAAAAACCUGCUUUUAGAGCUACUGCGACGGCAUCUUCAGGUGUAGCAGUGUAAUGGAUCGAGUUAUAGAACACUUCAACUGAAUCACAGUCAGAAACAAUGUAUCUGUUUCAAUCAAAACCUUACAUCAGUCAGAAAAAGAUAAGAACGGGUGUUAUUUCUAUUAACUAUUAUGUUGUUGUGAACCUAUUGGAAAUCUAGGUGCGCAAGACUAGUUGUCGCUCUCAUAAAUGAAACUGAGGAAUGGAAUUUAUGAAGAUGAUAAAGAAAGUUAAAGCCAAAAAUUGAAAGAAAUUCCUAGUCUGUUGAUGGGCUAAGUUGGCAAAAUCAAAUAGGGAAAGUUUAAAGUUGGAACAUAAUCAUACCCAUCUAAACCCCAUUGGCCUCUAACAACACCUUUCAAGAGGUCUGCAUCAGCACAAGUGGGAACACCAUUCACUCUGUUAUAUGAACACAUCACACUACUGACGUGUCCUUCCACCACACAGCUCUUGAAUGGUGAUUGAUACGUAUCUUCCAUGUCUUGCAAUGUUACCUGCAUUUUAAAUCUUUAUCAGUGAUCAGAAAAACUUAAAAGAUUAGUGAACCCUAACAUAACAUGGAUUCUGCAAAAUAGGUACAGAACAUCCAUCGUGUAUUUUAUAUAUAGAUGAUAUAUACUUUUGAAACUAGUUACUACAUACCUUUGCAUCAAAAUGAAACCGAUCAAUGCCUUUCCAGUUAUCGACAUCAUAAGCAGUAUAAUGCUUGCAACAGCUAGAAACUUUGAGUUUGUCGCUACUUGAGUUUCCGUCUUUUUCCAUCUCCUGGAGACCCCUGACAUAAUUCACAGCAUAUCUGGAGACCACCAAUGGAUCCUCCCCAGGCGUCUCUUGACCUCUACCCCAUCUCGGAUCACGAAAGACAUUGACAUUUGGGCUCCAGUAUGUCAACCCGGCUUGACCAACAUUGUACAUGGCACGAGCCUCUGUUGAUACAACACGACCCAUUUCAUACCAUAAAGACAUAUUAAAUGUUGCCGCAGAUAGGAUCACUGCUGGGAAACUAGUUGCACCAGGCACAGUGGCAUUGAAAAUUACCCCAGGACCAGUAUUUGAGACACCAUGAAGUGCUUCAGACCACCACUCAUACCCUGGCACACCAAGUCUUGAUACACCAGUGGCCUUGUUUACUAGUUGUUGAACCUUCUCUUGAAGGGUAAGCCGUCCCACAAGGUCUUUGACGCGAACAUCAUAAGGCAAAGAUGUAUUACAAAAUGGGAAUUCACUGGUCUUACUUGUGCGCUUGUCGCAGGCAUAUUGUUGUGUGGAAUCUGGGUUCAUUAGAAGAACUAAGAGGCACAAAGCUAAGACUACAUGCUUCUUCAUGGCCAAUUUUUCCUCUUUUCCUAACUUUGUUUUGGUUGCAUAUAUUUGAGAAGAAUGAGAGAGGAUUUAUACUUGGAAAUGCACUCCACAUUUUCUUCUUAUGGUAAGAAUGAGAGAGGAUUUAUACUUGGCAAUUGGCAAACAUAUGCUCCUUCUUAUAGUAAAGUAAAUAAUUAGUCAAGAUGACAAGGCAUGCUCUUUUACUUGAGUGAAAGUUUCUUCAAGCAUAAUCAAACUAAAGAAGGUUCAACUUUGAGUAAGUUAUCUGAUGCACUUCAAGAGUUAAAGGUUCAUAACUAAUUGUCUGAUCUGAACUGGAUGAUAAAGACUUCUUUCUAACAUUUUCCAUCGAAUGACCCUGACCUACACAUUUGUAUACCUUCUUGCAUAUGGUUUGUUCAAAGAGCAAUUUCAUUUUACAUGAAAUUACAGAUUCAUGAAACAAACUACAUAAAGGCUAACUAUGAAAGUUGCCAAAGAUGUAAUGGUCCCAAGAUCAUACGUCUAGAGCAAGCUAAGAAUGUGGUUUAUAAUUAAAAUUGCAUGUGUAUAUGGUACAAGUAAUAAUAAACGAUAACCACUCAUGGAAGUUUGGCACUUUAGGUAUUGGAGUAAAACUAAUUGAUCACUUGGCAUGUUCUAAUACUAUGCUAUACAUAAUUAAAGUGAAUACUUGAAGUGAAGAACAUUACUCCUAUAUAUUAAUCCUACACUCAAUAAUCAACUUCUAUAAUAAUAGUUAAUUAUUGCAAAUAGGAAACAUGAUCAAAGGUCAGGUUUGUUGGUAAAAUUUUAACAUAGCUUGAGAUUACGAGUACUGUGUUAGGAAUUAGGAUUAUGGCAUAUUUAGGAUUGCGAGGAUGCCAAGGAGCUAUCAUCAAAAUAUGUAAAGCAGAGUGCACAAGCCAGCCUGACUUAUUUGCAUCUGUCUCUCCCGCCAACAACAGAAUAGAACUACAAGCCCCAACAAUAUUUGAUAAGAUUAAAGUCCGAACUCCUGGAACUUGCAAACUUUGGUUUUUUAUCCAACACAUUGAAUCAAAAGAUAAUUUUUUUUUUCUUUUUCAAUCUCUUCUACUUCACAUGUUCUUUUGAGGUUGGAUCAUAUAAUUUUGAGUAUUAGGGUAGUUUACUCAUCUAAGAUGAUAGAAAGAUCUCAUAACUGAUUAAACCAAAUCUGCUGAUGAUCGGGAUACCAAACUGCAGUCCUUUCAGCAGGGUUUAUCAAUUCAAUGAGCCUCCGAAAUGCCAGAUACAACGGGAUUGUAUCUUCACUUGAAGAAAGCAGAUAGGACAUAGAGUUGCAUAACUUAAGUGGCAGAUUCUGGGUCAGUUCCCUAAGUUCUUCUUUACAACCCAAGGCCACUCCAUGCUCAUCAGAGUCGGGUGCACAGGAUUUGAACACUCCAUCACACAACUUCAACAGCAUUGAAGCCUUCUGCAAAAUGUCCCUCCUCAGUUGACUCACACCAGCCUCUACAAGCCUCAUUAAUGCAUCAGAUUGUUCGUCAACAAACUUCUGUUUAACAAGUCCUGCGAAAGGAGUUCGGGAUGUCAGAGGUUUACAACUUUAAACUGAAAUAUAAAGCACAAUGAAACACUAGAUUUUACUCCAGCGAAAGCAAACAUGGCCUUGGGUUUGAUAAAACAAAUUGUAUUUUUCUACUCAAAGCGCAAAGAUUUACUAACCACGAAUUAAUAAAAUACAUCAAAAAUAAUUAAUUCUGCUCAACAACUACACCAAUGAUUUAGACUACUACUCCCACGCACCUGUAUUGAGACUGGUCAGGAACGAAUUGAAAUGCUUCGCAACAAUGGUACAAAACUCAGUCUUUGUACUUUUGAUUCUGUCAACUACAUCUUGUACAGCUUCCAGAUCAACUGAUCCCACACAUCCAUUGGCAGUAUUUUUGCAGUUGACACACAAAUUCACAGCAGAAGCGACAUUUUCUAUAUUAAUAUGAAUAAAAAAGAAUGGAUAAAUAGAAAAGGUUGGUCAUCUAUCUAACUAAUACAUAAAAAUAGCUAGGGACUACAGUUCUAACCCAAUACAAGCAUGAAGAGAGAAAAGUAAAAUAAAUAAAUAAAUAAUUACGUCUGUCCCCAACAGAGAGCUCAUCAUCCAUGAGUCCUUCAAUAGAACAAGUGAGGUCUGAUGCUUCCAUAUCUUGUUACAAAAGCCAAAAAUUAAACCACUGAUUAAUCAAAGAGAGGUUGGACAUAUAACAAGUAAAAAAAGGAAGAAACGUGGACCAGUUUCUCUAAAAGCUUGAAUAUGUAAAGGAGGCUACCACAAUGUAUAUUAACCGGAAUACCAGAUAAACUGGUAGGCACAUACCUAACCAAAGACGGAGGUGAACUUUGCCACUCUUUUAACUGGGUCACGAGCCGUACAACCGGUUAGGCCCACAGUCCUAACCAAACAUGGGAUGGAUCCACCAAUAAAUAAUAAUCUGUAAUACCUUGUACAAUGACCUGCUUGCUAGUUAGUUCUUAAUAUGUUGAAUUUCAUGUUAUAUGAUAUGCUUAGGUGGUAGUCCAAAACAUGUUCACACUCAAGACCAAAUCAGUUGGUAUGUUCACACUUAAGACCAAAUCAGUUGGUAUGUUGUCUGCUAAUAACUUAGUUUAGUUAUGAAGAAAAUUAAAACCGACUUACUUUAGUAUAUAUAUGCUUAUAACCUUUUGUUGAUAUAGAUCAAAAGAAAAUAACCUUUUGGUAGAGUUCACACUAUAUACUUCAAUUUUGAAAAAGAAAGUUGCAUAAAUCUAUCAGAAGAAAAAAAACAUCUUAUAAGUUAAGGAUUUGAUACUUGGGAUCUCCGAUUUUGUGAAUUUCGUGUUAAUAGCUCGUUGUUAUAGUGUUUUCGUCACGAAGCGAGGUAAGUUGCAUGAUUUGAUAUCUUUUCUUGUUUUUAGGAGAUAAAUGAGGUUAGUGGGUGUAAGAGUAUGCUAUUGUUAUACUACAAUUUCGGUUAUGCGUGUUAAUUAAAUUUGUUUGAUUUUGAUUUCAUGAAAUUGAUAUCAUUAUUCGGUUAUUGUUGAAAAAUUGAUAGGAAAACAUGUUAGUGUGUUGAUUUGAUUCUAACAUGAUAUUGAUUGUCAUAACUCCUAAUUGACGCUGCAAUGAAUUAUUAGAUUAUUGAUGAUAUUAUGCAUGUAUAAUUUUCAUGCCAAAGGUGAGAUCUCAUAUUUUGAAAUUUAUGCGUAUUGAUAGUUAAGAUGCAUUUAAUUGAAUGUAUGGAUGGAUUUGUGUGAAAGGGUUUUUUGAGCCAGAGACUGUUUUGAACAGUCUGAAUUUGGGAAGACGUCCCUGGGGUGUACGGAGAGUAUUGCUCGGUGUCGCAUACAGAUGCAUGGCUGGGGUACUGCGGUACCAAAUGAUUUGAUAACAGAUGGAUUGGCUUUAUGCCAUGUGUGUAUGAUGAUUGGAUUGUUUAUAUAAUUGUUUAUUGAUUUGAGUUGUUGGAAUUGAUAUAAUGAUUAUAAUUGAUACAUGUAUUGUAUUGCUAUAUUAUUGGGUGCGCUGAUUCCGUCCCUGGGAUCAAGAUCGGAUAUCAAGUUGUGUAACUUGCUAGCGUUUAAUCGCUCUUUUUUCCCUUCCUUCCAGGAAACAGAUAAAGCGAUUCUCGGAGCGUGCGAAGAGGAUCUAGUUGGAGAUAGUUAGAUAAGCAGGUGCUCUAAGUUGUAGUUAGUCUUUUGUUAUCAGUGUAGCCCUUGGGGCAAACACAGUAUGUUAUCUUUUCAGUUGUGUGUUUUUCUUUCAGUUCAACCCUUGUAUAUAUGUAUAUACAGAGUUUGGCUUGAAUAAAUCUUCCGCUGUUGUUUUGUUCGAAUUUUGUUCGUGUUAUAUUUUAUUAUUCUGUCCUUAUAUGGAUAUUGGAUUUAGAGCUUGGUGUCAUGUGGCAGUAGUGUGAACCUACGGUCCAUGGUGGGCACAUGGAGAACAUUACGACUCUGGAGUCUAGUCUUAGCCUGAUCAACUAGGAUUGGAUUUUGGGGGCGUCACAUAAUCCCAGUGUGUGUGUGCACAACUAUAUAUGAUAAUGUAAACUCACUUUUGUCAUGUUUACAAACAGCUUCAGCUUGGAUGUCCAUGUUUUUUAAAAUCUCGUUUAGAACUAGCAAAAUGGUGUGAAUACUGUUGGAGAUCUUGAUAUCCUCUGUAACAAGAAUCAAGAUGAAAAUGCGAAGAAGAAGAAAUGAAAAAUGUCUAAACAAAUUAAUCUUUUCCAAAGAAAAAAAAGUGCUUUGCAUUACCAUCUGCUGGAGGUUUGGCUGCUAGUCCUGCUACUGAUUUGAGGAGUUUGUCCUUGGCAUCCAAAACGAAAUUCUCAAGACCAUAGAGAAUUCGGGUAUGAUUACGGUGAGAUUUUGUUUCCAAAUCUUCCAGCAUCCGGCUAAGAGAGUCUAGUUUGACACCUUUUGUUUCCAACUCCACCAUGUUCGCAGGAGACAUCACAUGACUUGAUAAUUGAUCCGAAGCAGUAAAAGUGCUAUUUGCAUUAUCAUCAUCGAGAGUAAUUCUCUUUACUGAUGUGGUCAAUUUGUCAGUGAUGGUCUCGAUGGCUGACGAAACAUGAUGCAAAUAACCAAUGCAGUAUGUAAGGUGAAAAAAAAUAACACCUAACAACAGGGUCUUUGAGUACAGGGAGAAUAUUAAGAUCGGUGGCUGUUCCUUUUGUCUGGCUUCUGAUAGAGUUGAUGGCUUCUUUUAUGAGAGGCAAGACCAAGAGAAGAAACGUUUCCCAGUACUUCUUAGAUGAAGAAUCUAUUGACACAUCAGCCAGCUCACAAACAAAAAACAUUCAUCACAUGAAGACAAGGUCUAAGAAUGGUAUUGUCAAGCCAAAAGCUCUGGUCACAUCUAAACAUACUUUUCCUAUUGCUUUGGCUGCAAGUAUACAAAGUACACUUACCCCACCAACAUCCUAUGUGCAAGCUAUGAAGGAUUCUAAAUGGAGAGCUGCUAUGGUUACUGAGAUUAAUGCUCUACUACAUACAAAUACAUGGGACCUGGUACCACAUCAACAAGGACAAAAUCUAGUAGGAUGUAAAUGGGUGUACAAAAUAAAGCAAAAGGCAGAUGGUAGUAUUGAAAGGUAUAAAGCAAGACUGGUAGCUAAGGGUUAUCAUCAACAGGCAGGGAUUGAUUACUCAGAGACUUUCAGUCCAGUAGCCAAACCAACUACAAUAAGAAUGGUUCUCACUGAGGCAGUUAACAAUAACUGGCCUAUUCGACAACUUGAUGUAAAUAAUGCUUUUCUUCAUGGUCAUCUCAAUGAAACUGUGUUCAUGCAACAACCCCCUGGAUUUGUUGAUAGCUCUAAACCAAACUAUGUUUGCAAGUUGAAGAAAUCUCUGUAUGGUCUUAAGCAAGCUCCGCGAGCCUGGUACAAUGAGUUACACAAGGUACUUCUUCACUUAGGUUUUCAUACUUCACAUGUCGAUCAUUCUCUCUUCAUCCAAAAAUCUCCAAAUUCUCUCAUCUAUGUCCUUGUUUAUGUUGACGACAUUAUUGUCACUGGUUCAUCCAAUACUGUUUGUCAAACAUUGAUUACAAAUCUUAGUCAACAGUUUUCUAUGAAAGAUUUAGGUCCUCUUCAUUAUUUCUUAGGUUUAGAAGUCAACAGAACUAAGGAUACUCUUACACUAUCUCAGUCCAAAUACAUUUAUGAUCUAUUGGAUAAAGCUUCUAUGCUAAAUGCCAAACCAUGUUCUUCUCCCUGUGCUACCACUACUCGUUUAGAUAAUGAGACUGGAGAUUUGCUUCAAGAUGUAACAUUCUAUAGAUCUCUUGUAGGCUCUCUACAGUACCUUACAUGGACUAGGCCAGAAAUUUCCUUUCCAGUCAACCAGGUUUGUCAAUUUAUGCAUAAACCCAGGACCACACACCUUAGAGCUGUGAAAAGAAUACUGAGAUAUCUAAAGGGCACUAUCACAUUUGGUCUAUCUUUUCACAAGGGUCCACCUACUAUUACUUGCUACUCUGAUGCUGAUUGGGCAAGUUGUCCUAUGGAUAGAAGAUCAAUUACUGGUUUUGGUGUAUAUUUUGGCUGCAAUCUUAUUUCAUGGUGUUCAAAGAAACAAGCUACAGUUGCUAGAAGUUCUACUGAAUCUGAAUACAGAGCUUUAGCGCAAUGUGCUGCAGAGUUCACAUGGUUAUGUCAUCUCUUAAAAGAUUUACACAUAUCUUUCAAAAGGAAACCAGUUAUUCAUUGCGACAAUAUCAGUGAUAUUUCUCUAGCCUCUAAUCCAGUGUUUCAUGCUAGGACUAAGCAUGUUGAAGUGGACUAUCACUAUAUCAGAGAUCUUGUUACUCAAAAUCUUGUUGAUGUUCAAUAUCUGUGUACCACAGAUCAGAUAGCUGAUAUAUUCACCAAAGGACUCUCUACAGCAAGGUUCUCUUUUCUGCGUUCCAAACUAUCUGUCAGUCCUGCUGCCAUCAGUUUGAGGGGAGGUAUUGACACAUCAGCAAGGACAGCCAGCUCACAAACAGAAAACAGUUAGUAGUAAUUGUAAUUAGUUAGGUUGUUAUAUUUUCAGUUAAGGAUUGUAACAGAUUACUCUAUAAAUAAGGUCUGUAAGUGAAGAACAAAGUAAGAAUGAAAUAAAAUCAUUUUUCUCUCUGUUCGUUUAUUUCUGGUUCAUUCAUCUUAACAGGAUCACCCAUGACAUCCUUCUUCAAGUAAUCAAUAUUCAACAACUGUUCCUCCUCCGACGACGACAGUUUCCUCGCCUUGCAUGCUGUGUGACAAACACAAAUAAACAAAAAUAAAUAGAAAUAAUCAUACCAAACCCCAAUUAAUAAAAAAAAAUACGAACAACUAUUCAACUGAUUUCAUACAAACCUUUUCUGUUUCACUUCUGGAUUUUCCUCUUCAUAAUCAUCUUCUUCUUCGCGGUCUUGAGCUUAGCUUGUGCUGUGACCUGUGAGAGUACGUAGUAAAAGUGGAAUCAGAUAUAGCAGAACAAUCCAAAGCAAAAGUAACAAGCUAUCUAUUAUCCUAAAAAUUUAUAUGAGCCAACCUCGAUCAAAACAACAACAACAACGUACCUCCGCCUUGAGGAUUGAAGUCGAAAAACACCUUCAUUUUCACUCGUUCUUCCUCCAACACUUUUUUCUCUUUUAUUAAUUAUUAUUCUAUAUUACUAAUAACGGGUGCACUUGAGUUUUUUGUGUAGAGUUUUAUGUUUUCAAAAAAACCCACACAUUCUUUCAAAAACCUUUUUAUUUAGAGAUUUUUGGACAUAUCCCAUUUGAAAGUAGAAAUUUGAGAUAAGAUACCCCAUUUAAAGACAGGAGAUAGGUUAGUUUUAUGAUGGAUGGUUAAAAGGGGUAUCUCAAUUUUAUUUUUUUCAAACGAGGUAUUUAAAAUUUCGACUUUCAAAUGGGUCAUGGAUAUGUCUAAAAAUCUCUUUUAUUUAUAUUAAGGGUUAAAUUGUAAUUUAAGUAAAUAAUAUGGGCAGUUGAGCAUAGAGAAAAAUUCCAAAAAGUGAAAUCCAUAACACGUGUGGAUUUAAGAUUUUAAGUAACCAGAAACCGCCUCAAAUAAAGUAUUUUAUGGCCCAAUAAAAAGCCCAAUUUUGCAAGUUCUAGGACUUUUGACUAUUGGGCUUUUAAUCUUUGUAGCCCAUGAUGAAUAUUGGCCUGUGGCUGUUCCAAUUUCCAAGCGUAAAUCUUGAAACAGAUGCAAAUGAGAGCAGGUCUUGUUGUUCAACAGUUUGGAGAUACUCUUGCUCUUACACUCUCCCAAGUCCCAAGCCUCAAGGUGUUGAUGUUGAAUUGAUCCUUCUUUCAACAGUUUGUAGAUACUCUAUUGCUCUAUCUUGGAUUCUCUGAAGUUUCAAGUUAUUGUUUGAACAAGAUAGGUUGAAGGAAUCUUCUCUGAUCCCUCCCUCUGUAGUUGCCUCAGAGCCGUAUUAAACAGACUUCGGAAGUCAGAAAAAUCAGAGAACAAUAGACAUUUUUUGGUCUUCACCACUUCCUAGACCUUCUUUCCUUCCAACACGUGUCCCUAUUACCCAAAUAAACAGCUCUUUUCUUCUGUCAUUUCAACUCACAGAGCACUUUUCAGUUUUUACUUAAACCUCUGCCUUUCACAAGUUCAGUAGCACUCUUCUUGACUUCUUCCAUCUCUAUUUGAAGAAAAAAAAAAAUGUUGAAGAUGGUGGUGUUUUUCCUUCUUUGUGUUUUCCAUCUUCAAGGUCUUACAAGUAAGUAAAACAAAGAAAACCCCUUUAGUCCUUACACAUUUCGACUUCAAUAGUGGUUUUUUUUUUUUGUUAUAACUUUACACUAUUUUAUGUUUGUUCGUUUUGUUGCAGAUGCAGGUCAAGAAACAGUUCUUUUGAUAAACCUCAAUGAUCCAACACCCAUGGUACUUGAAGCAUUUUGUCAAAGUGGUUCUUAAGUUGCAGUUUCUGUGAAUCCUGAAGAUCUCAGUGCAAUUUCUUCUAGUGUUUUGAAGGCUGAACGUUGGGUUAGAGCUCAUGUAUUGUCUCACUUUUCUAGUACCAAAAUCACUACCAUUGUUGUUGGAAAUGGAGUUUUAUGCAACAAAAAGCAUGAAGAUAAGUGGGGUUUUGUUCUUCCAUCUGUUAAGAACAUUUAUCACUCUCUUAUAAGAUGGGGUUUAGAGAAAGAAAUCAAAGUCUCUGCUACAUUUUCUCAAAUGUGUUUAAGCCCUUUUUCUGAUACAUUCAGAGAUGAUUUAUCUGAAAGUGUGAUUAAACCUUUGUUAAGCUUUCUUCAAAAAUCCAACUCAUCUUACUCUGCUAACCCUUCAUCACCUACUUUUUUUCCCUCACUCCAACUCUCAAAAGAAAUCAUCAGCUUGGUUUCUUCUCACAAAGAAUCCAUUAAAAACCUUGGGUUUUAUAAGUUUGGUGUGAUUAAUGUGUUAUUCUCCAGCUCAAAAGAACAAAACCCCAUUAAGAGGAAGCUUUCAUUCAGGAGUUCUAAGGUUCUAGACCCUUUUUCAACAAAUCCAACUCCAACAUUAUCAAUCCACUCCUCCUUAGGAUAUUCUGUCCCUGCAAGUGUACCUAAAUAUCGACACCAUUCGAGUCCUCCAAUCGCUUCACCGCCUUCGAUUUCACGUAAUUAUCCACCACUUAGACCACCAUUGAUAAUUCCUACAUACCCACCUUGUAAUCCUAAAGAAGAACCAGUACCAACACCAGAAACAGGAGAACAGAACGGGGUUUGGUGUGUAGCUAAACCUAAUGUACCUGAACAAACAUUACAAGAAGCCAUUGAUUAUGCUUGUGGUGAAGGGGGUGGUGAUUGUGAAGAGAUUGGAAUACAGGGAAGCUGUUAUUAUCCUAAUACAGCUAUUGCUCAUGCUUCUUAUGCUUUUAAUAGCUACUGGCAGAAGAAAAAGAACUAUGGAGGUACCUGUGACUUUGGUGGCACUGCUAUGAUCAUCAAUACUGAUCCAAGUAAUGUUUCUGAGUUUCAUUGUCUCUUUGGGUGAAAUUUUAUAGUACUUUAAUUUCAAUUCCUUUAUUAGUACUACACUUAAACACUUGGUUGAUUUUUGUGUAUUGAUGAUAUAAAACUUUCCUUGAUUGCAGGUUUCAUGCAAUGCCAGUUCAUUGUUAGCUAGGCAGGUACACAAAGAUAAAAUUUAAAAAUUACUGUAUUGUUUGUUAAAGUAAUUAAAACUCAAAAGUGUGGUUUAAGCUUUUGGUUAGGGUUUAUGAAUUAAAAAAAGAUGGCUGGAAGCUACUCUUAAGUCUUAUCAGAGCCAGGUUUCGAUCCUGGGACCUGUGGGUUAUGGGCCCACCACGCUUCCGCUGCGCCACUCUGAUUUGUUGAACAAACUGUGUUAAGUUUAUAUAUGUACAAACGUACUGGUUAAAAUAGCUUAAGUUAACUGGUUGAAAUAUGUUUGGAAAGUUGAUCAUUUGGAUGUGAAAAGUGAAAACAAUAGAACUGGAGCUUAAAGUUUGAACCACUAGGAUAUGUUAUCAACUGCCUAGAGCAUUCCCAAUGGUAGGUUUUAGCACACUUUUAGUAAAUUUUUAGUGUAAACACUUGUCAAUGGUAGCUUUUAACACACUUUUCAAGCAAAACACUUUUAACUCUUUGGCAAAUUUGUCACGUAGGAAUCCAUCCGCCACAAUUAGUGCGGUAUGGACUCAUCUAAAGAUUCAUCUAAAAGAAGAUCCAUCCGCCACAAUGAGUGCGGUAUGGAUCAUACCCCACAAUGAGUGUGGUUUCAAUAAUCCACUAUUGGAAACACUAAAACCUUUUUUUUGCUAAAACUAUUGGAAACACCAAAAUUCCUUAAAACCAUUCUAUGUGGCACCACUAAAAGUGUUUUACCAUUGGGAAUGCUUUUACUGUUCUCAUUUUGUUUUAGGCAAGAGUACCACAAUAAAUUUUAUCUAUGAUAUAAUCUAGUAUGGGUGUAGUUAAUCCUAGUGGGUUUGAAUCAAUUAUCCAACUAAUUUAUAGGCACAUGGCAUGUUGUGAUUGGGACCACACGAACCACAUACUAGAGGAAACACAAAUAAUUUUUUUUGAAGAGUACCAUAUAUAUCGGAAUAUAUUGGAGCUGCCACUAGUUACUAGUUGAUAAUAAAACCAUGACAAUUUUCUAUAAAGUUGCGAUAAUUGAAACGAAAAUUCGAAGUUGGUGGGGAAAAUGCCAUAGUCACACUUGUCCUCACACUUCAGCUGGUACCUUUUUCUAAUGUUUUUGCAUGAAUAUACUCUGAUUUCAUUUCUUGCACAAAUAAAAUUUCGUAAUGUACAAACUUCCCCUCAUUAGCGCCAUUAGCCCUUUCCACUUUGAUUUCAUUUCGUGCAUGAAAUGAAAUUUCUGUAAUUUAUGAACAUCCUCGGGAUCAUUAGUCCUUUUCCAAUUACUUUUUUUGACUUGUAAAUAUUUUCUCAAUGUCUUCAUUACAUGUUUGUUGAGAGUGAUAUUAAAAGUAUUACUGAUUUGUCAAUCUUUUGGAUCAAACAAUAGAACUACGAUGUGAUGUUGUGUUCUUUUCAUCUUUUAACGUACUAUCUAUAACUUUAUAUGAUGUUUUAAUUUGUUUGGUUUAAUGUUUUAAUUUGUUUGGUUUACUGAGUAGUAAGUUGUUGAUUGCUGGUUUACGGUUGCAGUUUGUUGUCUGCUUGUGGAGCAGAGGAGGUGUAUAUGUUUGAGAUGAUUUAAAUGGUAGGUAGAGAGGAGAGAGGCACUCUUUUGCUUUUUGUGUUUGAACUUUGAAUUUUGAAACAUUACAAUUUCACUGUCUGUGUAAGAGGUGAAGAACCUUUGUUUGUUACAUGAUCUUGAUUCUUGAAUACCACAUAUGUGAUAAUAUUGAAUCUUUUUUUUUUUAGGUUAAGUAAAAUAUUGAAUUUGUUGGUUUGUUUAUACUGUAUUGGAUUGGAAGCAGAGUAAAAAAAAGCAAAAAGUGUUGGCUUUGGAAGCUACUCUUUCAUAUCAGAGCCAGGUUUCGAUCCUGGGACCUGUGGGUUAUGGGCCCACCACGCUUCCGCUGCGCCACUCUGAUUGGUUAACCUAUAUUACAUAUUUAAUAAUAUAAUCUAAAAUAUUAUAAACAUUUGGGCCUUGAAUAUGGGCUCGUAAUUGGGUUAUUGGGGAUUAGUUUAUGUCAAAAUAGUUUGUUUGUGGCUUCAUGGAGAGGAACAAGUAAUGCACCUGCAAUAGCAAUUAUGGGAGGGGAGUGUUUGCAUAGAUGGAUCAGUGGAUCAGUUUAUUGGUACAAAGUACAAACUCCCUUCCCACAAGAUCUUCAUCUAACAGAUAUUGUUGUCGUUUGUAUUUCAGUAACAAUGUUUGUGUGUUGCUGUGAUUAAUUGUGGAAAUGAAGAGUAUUGUCACUGUCCUGCCUUCAGAGUGCAUAGGUACUCUGAAAUGUUGGAUUUGUGAUUAUGGAGAAAGCUUUUUGUAUUUUUAUAGUCUAUUUGAGUGAUUUGAGUCUAUACAGUUUAAGAAGAUCAAAAUCAUUGGUAUAGUUUGGGCAUAAAAGAGCAUGUACAGAGUACAGUAGAGAGGUGUCUCAAGAGUUGAUAGAUGUUUGAAGCUGCUCUGCACCCUUUAGUCUCAUUUCAUUUCCCAAACAAAAUCAUUAUUGUCAUUGAUUGGUUCUUUGGACAAUUAGUUUGUAAGAAUUUUUCAAGCGAGGUAGACAAACAUGAAUCUGACUAUCUGAGAAUUGUGGUGAUACUACAAGUUCAGACCAAGAUUUCUAUAAUGGACUAAUGGUUACUAGUUCAAACCAAUCUAAAUACAUAAAAAACGUCACCCGAGCAACUUGAAGCUAUUUUUGGAAAAUUAACAUAUCACAUAACUGGAAACAAAUGAUACUCAAACAACAGGAAAUGAACAUGGCACCAAGAGAAACUACUAUAAAAAUUCAAAAUACACCAUCUACUUUCUUUGUUGGAUAAGAGAAGGUCUGUACAUACAACUACCACAAGACAACAAGGUAUACACAAAAAAUCCAGGAGAUGUAACAUCACCUCAGCAACUAGAAGAUAUUUUUGGGAAAAUUAACUUUAUCACAUAACAGGAAACAAAUGAUACUCAAACAACAGGAAUCUUCACAAAGAGAUGUCCACGGUCCAGUAAGAAAAAACACCUCCACCUACCAACUAUACCAAAACUUAUUUGAUAAAAAUAUGACAUUUGACAUUGUAGAUUACAUUGUAGACUGAAAAUAUACAAACAUAACAUCUCAUCAUGGACUGGUUAAAUGUUCCACCAUCUAUUUUUUCAAACAAGUCCAUAGAGAAUCUGUGCAGGGUCGAUAAUGCUCUUGUAUUUCUUCAAGCUAUCAUAUGUUGUGAUGUUUUAAACCCAUUCAAAACUUGUUUCUUUUGGUAAAACCAAGGCAAUAAGGCAAUCUGAUGGUUGGGGAGCAAUAGACAGCAGAGAACAUAUAUCCUGCGAGUGGGGAAGAAUAAAUAGCAACCUUGCCCACAUGGAAUUCCCUGGUGGGACCUUGAUCACUCCUGCGCAUUCCCUUUGCUUUAAGUAUGAUAUGAAAUCUUGCAACUGCAUAUAGAAUAUCUGUAACAGUUAAAUGUUGACUGGCAAUAUUCACUAAUUUCAGAAUCUAUACUUUUGAGCAAAUUAAACGUAUGUCAGUGUCAUUUCAUCCGCUGUGUGCUUCAGAUAAGAUUAAAAUUUUCCAAUAGCCAAAGAUAACUUACGCCUUUAUGAUCGCCUGAGGAAGAGGGAAGGAGCCGACAAACCUCUCUCUACAAUUCAUGUUGAAAAGUUUAGGCAAAAUAUACAUGAUAUGAAGUAUAUAUAACAAACAAAAGGCUUAAAUGCAUAAUAUACUUUCAAAAGAUGACAUGAGCAACUCACUUUGUGAGGGGGAGUAAUUGUGAAUGUUGACUUCACGUGCUGAAAAUCUGUGCGCUUAGUUACAUCAAAUCUAGCAGGCCAUCUGCAUCAAGUACUCAACACAAAGAGUAGCAAUGAAUCUCAAAAAUAUUAAGCAUCAUCAGUAUGUUCAUUAGUUUAUUAAGGGGGAAAAACAUCUUACCCAGCAGGUUCAGAAAUAGCAUUUGAAUACUUGCAAGUCUCAGAGUCCUCUCUAAGUGCAUAUAAUGUACAGUAAUUAACCCCGCUUUUACAUAGCACUCCCUGCCACUGAUGCUGUAUACGUAGUCCAGCAUUUUCAAGAUUUGGAAGCUCAACUGAUGACUGAAGGGGAGGUGGAGAACUGGGUGGCGGUGGAACUAGAGGAGGAUGGGACAUUGGCAAAGGAGGUGGAGAUGGAGGCAAUGGUGGACCCAUGUUUGUAGGAGGUAUCGGUGAUAAAGAUGGUACAGGUGGCACUGUAACCAUCUGGUCAACAUGCUGCAUUGCGCCUCCUGGAAGCUGUGCUAGUGGAGUCACGGACGGAAGUAUGAAAGGAGCAGCACCUACAUUAACAUGGUAGGUGUGAGGCAUUAUGUUAGGAGUGAUGUGGUUAGAAGGUAAUGGAUGGUUCACAGAAUGGCCAUCCCAAGAAUUACGUGGAUCAACGUAAACAGGCCGCAUAAAUGACAAUGCUUGAUUUUGAUGUGGUGGAGCAAGAGGAGGCCCUUGUGAAGCCAUGGGUGGGCAUUGCAUGCUUCCUCCAGAUGAAAACUGCAGCUCAGAUCCAGGUUUGUUAUAAGUCCACAUUUGUCCACUGCCGUGAGGAUUGUGACCUGACAUUUCAAGAACAAAAGCCAUGAGCAAAGGAUUGUGCUAGUCAGGAAGAAGAGCAAAAAAAAAGGUAAGGUUUUCCAAAGAAAUAUUACUUGCUUGUGAGAAAUUUACUGCCAUGUUACUGUUUGAACCAUCAGGAUUUGUAUAGUUUCCUGCUCCAGCUUCUAACAUCUGUGUACAACCAGAACUAGACCAGUUCAUUGGAAAUGUGUGCGUGUUUCGUACCAUAGUUCCACGAUUCUCUGAGUCCAUUCUAGGUGAUAUAAGCUCGUGAGUGCCGCCCUCAGGUCUAUUUAUGAAGGGCAUGUUGCCGUUCUUCCCUGGUUGACUGUUCGAGUCACAAUAACAGAAUAUAUCACGAGAAUCAGUACUUCGAUCUUCCCUAACAGAAUAUUAUAAGAUAACAGAGUUUCUGCAUAGAACUGUAUCGGCACCCUAGCAAUAUUACAUCAAGAUAGUCCUAGCAGAACAAGUUUCAAAGAAAGAUGGGAAACACUGAGAUCUGCUAACAAAACUGAAGUACAUACAAAAUCCUCAAGAACUGAACAGGAGAGUAAUGAUCAUAAACUCAACACAUGCAGGAAAACGAAUUAAAAAAUUCAAUUGAAAUAAAAAAAUCUUUAAGAAUUGAAAGCAGAUUAUGACAUGGGACUCUUCGAGCAGUAGAUUACCUGAUCCCAUCAAGACUUUUAAGUUCUAAUGUCUUCUACAGUUCUACCUAUACACAAAAUUGCUUUCUAAUAAUUAAUUAUCAUCCCAUACACAAUGAUGGUACGCAGGUGUAUUACAGUCUUCAACUUGUUCUUAUCUAGUAAACAGUCAGUUUCGACCAUCUCAGCUUAGACCAAUCUUGUAUACUUAUCAGAUUUAUGUCUUUUCUUUUUAUUUUAUUUUUUAUAUUAUGGAAGAAAAAGCCAUCAAAUGGUCAAAAUAAUAAUAUAUUAUGGUAUCAAAAAUCAAGUAGACAAGUAAAUGCUGAGAAAGUUAUCUUCAUGCCUUCUUGUACCUACGCUUCAUAUAAUAAAAUCCAUGAGUGGUUGUCCAUACCUGAAUUCUAUCUGGAAGAACAUGCCUGGACAGCUCCGAAGAUUUUUUAAAGCAGUAAUAGCAGCAUCUACACUGCUUAGUUGAACAAACCAGCAGGAACUCAGAUGCAAAUUUUCCCUUGUCAACCUGACAACAGAUCCAACAUUUCCAACAGCAUGAUUGCAGACAGACAUUAGCUCAUCAUCAGUGAGGAAUGUUGAGCUAAUAUGUGGUAAACCAACUCUGAGAAUGUUGGUGGGUGUUCUGUCUUCGUCUCUUGUGAUAAGUGCAUGGUAGCUUCUUGGUAUAUUGUAUUUUGAAGAUAAGGAUAAAACCAAUGAAGAUAACGGAGUCAUCCUCAAAUUACAAUUAUCCUUAGGACUAUCAAACACACCCGGAACAUGGGGUGAUCCCAUCAUGCUAUUAGGUGUGUUUAAUGAGAUAUUGCUUCUUAGUUCCGUGCCAAUAGGAUGAUGCAUAAAUCUUCCACCAUCUGUAUGACACCUUGAAAAAUCAGAGCUUCCUUCAUUAGAAACCAAACUUCUAUUGACUAAUAUGUGGCCUCCAUUUUCCUUGCGAUUCUGCCGGAGAUGUGCCAUAACAAUGGUAGCUUCUUCAGCUGUCUCAAAUUCCAUCAGCAACGCAUUUUCACUUAUGAGAUCAGAAACCAUGCGAGUCCUCAAACCCACUCUCAUCACCUCUUGCAGGAUCUCUUCUUUCAUCCUUUGGCUUGAAACCUUUCCAACAUAUACAUGCAAACUGGCACCAACUGCUACACCAUUAAUCGAUCCCCUACUUCCCAAUCCUACAUCUAGAAACUUGACUUGUAUGUGGGAACCCCAAGGAGAAGAUUCCCUCAUACAUUCACGAGCUUUAAUAGCAUCCAUAAUGUUUAUGUACUGAACCAACGCAAACCCUUUAAUAGGAAAGAACAAAAAUUGUUCUAUUGGGCCAAACUUUUCAACGUGAAACUUGACUCCAACUUCAGAUGCAUCAGGACCUAGAGAGCCCAACCAAAGUUGUUUUGAAGCUGAAAAUACAUCCAUGGCUGCAGAAUCCCCAUCAAAAUACCACACAGUAUGGUUAGAUGAAGGAGACGCCAUAACAUUGGAUACACGUCCAGUGGUAGAUCUCAUAGGUGUUGAGAUGAAGUCAUUUGCGACCUGCUUCUUGUCAAAGAGAGCGACAUGGUUUCCACCUUCAAAUGCAUCCGUCCUGAGAUUCAUAGAUGUCCUGUUGACAGGUGAAAGAAAAUUGCUGCUUUUUGUGGAUUGUGUGUCAUAACAUGAAUCCUCGCCUUCUCCAGUCUCCAGGUCUUUAACAAGCCAUGAGCCUUCAGACGCAUGAUUGGAAUUGUCAUUCACCGACCGCAUAUCAAGCUCAGGAGGAGCUACCAAACUGCUGGACUUCAUAGGCUGACCAGAAAACUUAUCACCAAAAUCCCUAUCCUCAUUAUAUUCAUGACCACUGGAUGCAUUUUGCAGUUUUGGAGCAUGAUCAUUGUCAGACUUCUCACUGGAGUUCUCAUGUGCCUUAGGUAUCAAAUAUUUCCGAUUGUUAUAUUUAGAUGGAUCAGAGUUGUCAUCACUGUCUUCUUGGCUAUCAACAUUGUCAAUCAAUUCUGCAAAAGAUUUUAAAAUCCCCUCCAAAGCAGAUGAUAUAUCAGAGAUAGCCUGAGAUCGAACUGACUUCCGUAACUUUUUAAACUUCAAAAGAAUCCAGUGUCUCAGAGAUGGGUUUUUUGUAAGGGCCUGUGUAUCCCAGACAGCAUUGUUAGAAUCAGAUCAUAUUGUGGUUUGAAAAAGCAAAACUCAUAAGGUAUACGCUACAAAUGAAUCUUGAUAAAGCAUUACGAAAACAAUGUUUGAAACUCAUAGUCACACAAAUAAGAAUCAUUAUCAUGUAUCAUUAAGGUAACUAAAGAAAUCAUCUUCCCAUUAAACAUUUAGCAUCAGAAUAGUAAAACUCCCAUUCCAUGUAUAUAUUUAAAAAGCAAACUUCAAAGUUAAAUACGACAAAAUGAAGUUUUGCCAUAUUUGGUUAUGUUAUUUUCAAGAUACAGUCAACUGAGAGCUCAUUCGACUAACAACAAAGUAAGUCCUCAAAGUUUACAUCAACUCAAAAUAGUUGUCAAACUACACAAAAUACUGUAGGUCCUCAAAUUCUACAUCAGUUCAAAAUCUUAAUAAAUAAGACAACUGUCCCUUGGCAAGGAGAUACAGAAACCAAGCAGAUACAGGCAUACAGCAGUUAGAAAAUACUAAAAAAAAAAAAGAAGGAUUAAACAGAGCAAAAAUCAAAGAAUAGUAGCAUGAAUCCUACACAAUGUCCUGAACACAAAUAGUUUAUUUAGGCCAUUCAUUUUAAAAGGACACCUGAUGCUGUCCCUUCUGCAUAUCCAAUCAUGUUAAGAAGAAAAGGAUAACCAAAACAUGUACGUAUAACAAAUUUGUUGCCGGAGGUGUGGGGGGGUUUGUGAAACAAGGUAUAGUAGGAACAAGAAAAUUUAGCCUUCACUGGCAGAACCUUUUAGGAUACUGAAAGUGAUAACUAGAAAAGAUAAAAUUCAUAUAUAUAUGAUAAAAUUAAUAUGUGUGUGUGUGUGUGACUAAUUACUGCAAGUCCAAAUUAAUAUGAUAAAACCCAGUUUUUAGACAUAUGUUCAAUUAUUACCAUUCCCACCAAACAGUUCUUUCUAGCAAUCCAUGAAUCUGAAGAUUCUGUAAUCUCAAUCCCUUCAAUAGUUGUCUCAGCUGAACCUGUACAUGAUAUAGGCUGCUCUGUUGUCUUUUCCGCGGAAGUUACAAUGGAAGAAGGAAUCUGGCUUGUCACCUGCCUUAGAAAGUAAUUACCACCUUCGGAAGAUCCUGCAUCUGCUGAGCUGGUUUUGAAAAGCUCAAAGCAGGCUUCAAGUAAAUUCUUGGGACAACUAAAGAAAAUUCUAAGUAGGCUAAGCACCCUGAACUUAUAUAAUUUAGACAAUACGGAUUCAUCUUCAACUUCUACUUUUUCAUUCAUCUCAAGCAAUGCCUCUGAGGAUUCUUGCACCCUUACAAUAUCCUCAGCAUUAAUUUGAUAGAUAUCCUUUCCCUCAAAUGAUGAUACGAAGAAAGUUAGUACGUUCAGAAAGACUGCAGAGGAGAUACCUCGGAUAACAGAUGAUGUCGGUGCCUCCGAUGAAGCAGCGCAACAGAUAUCCACCAGACCAAAAAUAGAGGCUUUAGCCGUCUUAAAAGCAACCCCAUCAGAAUCAUCACCCCUGAGUAUUGUAGCAAGGUUCCAACUGUACAUAUUAAUUGCUACUUUAGCAGCAGCCUCAAUAGCAGUUGGGCAAUGGGAUGCAUAUCGAGGAAUCAGUUCAGAUAAUAUCCGUUGUGCACUUGUGCAACCUGUGAAGAGUGAAGCAUGGAUAGCCAUUAGACAUGAUUUAGUAUAUUAACUUCAAUAGGCUAGUGACACUAAUAAAAAAACAGUGUACUUAUUCAUUUGAUAUCUUGCUUGGAGUAAAGAAAGUGUGGCAGUUUCGUCUAGUUCCCAACUACAUUCUUUUCUCUAUUUCUUCCUGGACAGGUAUAAAUGCAAGUUUACUCCAUGAAACCCUACAAAUUUGUUUGAUACUUAUAAAGAUCCACCAAAGUUGAGAGCCUUGACACUAGUGACAGACUGACAGGUAAGCCUAAAGGUUGUUCCCAAUCCUGUAGGGGAGAUGCCAAUCGUCUCUCACAUUUGAUGAACACUGGAAAACAAAAUCCUCACAAUGUAGUCCACCAACUAUCUUAAUGAAUUUGACUAAAACAACAAUAUAACUCUGAUUUUCUGAACUGGUGUAAUACUUUUCUCCAUCACCGUGAAAUGUCAAAUGUAUUUAUUCAAGACAGAGGUCCCACUGAAAUGAAUAAAGAAACAUUCCAAAUAUGCCUUAGGCUGCAGGAGAAGGAUUCGGCAUCCCAGAUGUAAUAAAUACAAAAUAAGACUAUCAAUUAUUUCCUCUUGUCGCCUCGUCAUAUAUAGUAAAACAUCUCAUAAUUAUAUGAGACUAUGACAUCUCCAAGGAGAAAGAAGAACAAAAUAAAUUAUAAGACAUGAAAAAAGAAGAAAUAUCUUCUUUUUGUUUUUGGGGUGGUGGUGUGGAUCGUGAAAAAACAUCAAUUAUUUCCUCUUGUCGCCUCAUCAUAUAAAGUAAAACAUCUCAUAAUAUUUCCGAAGCACUGGCACAUUAUUGUCAAGGGUAGCAGCACUAUCACAUUGAUUUUCCAUCACGUAAUACUUGUGCAAAUCAUUAUUAAAAAAAAACAGCAAUCUUUUAUUCAUUUUCCCAAGUCUAUUCAUUAUGACCCUCAAAAAAGAAUAUACAAUAACGUUUAAGACCUUUAAAUCUAUGGCAUUUGUUUGGUUUUUCUGGAAAAGAGAAAAUGGCAUUACCAAGUUAGAUUUGUCUUCACCAGAAAACUAACAAGCAACUUUCAUCAGGUAGCAUCUGUGACUAAAUAUAUGAAAUAUUUACACUUCUUUCACACCUUCCAAGCUGACAACAAGCUCAUAAUUAACAAGGUUUUGAUAAAUUGUUGUGUUGAAACGACUACAUUGAUUUAUUCUAUCUGAUAAUUCACAGCUAAAAUUAACAAAAAUAAAUAAAAACUACUAACCUCUUGAAGCAGUAAUAAGUGCAAGGUAAGCUUGUUCAAAGUCGGGCAUAAGACGAGCAUCUUUUUGAGAAACACAAAACUUAAUUCGCCUAUAAAUUUCAUACAAACUCCUAAUUUCAGCUUUAUUUCUUUGUUUUCUUAAAAUUUCAUCUUGUGACAAUGGUGACGACUGUUGAUAAUCAUUCACAGCCUCAAGUAGCUUUCUCUUCUUCAAAGGUUGUUCUGCCAAUGCCAUUGCAACAACAACAACAACAACAACAACAAGUUUUUUUCUCAACAGUUCCUCGCUUUAAUCACAACAGUGCUUUGCGCCACAUUCUGAACCAAAACAUGAUGAAAUCAACAAAAAAUAAAACUUGAAUUUAACUAGGGUUUAACGUAUACUUUAAUCCAAUUUGGAAACAAAACUCAAUAAUAUAUAAUCAAAUUGGUUCAGUAAUCUGUUGAAUUGAACUGAAGAAAAAACCUACUCGUUAAUUAAAGCUCGAAUUCUUAAUUAGGGUUUCUAUUUUCUAAACAAAAACAUACCUUCUCUUCGUGCAGAGAGAGAGAGAGAGAGAGAGAGAGAGAGAGAGAGAGAGAGUGGGAAUUUGCUAGAGAAAGACGGGGAAAAUAAUGAUUCGUGCAGUGUUUGGGAAAUUGUUUUUUGAAGAAAAUAAUUCCCGAUUCACUUGUUUCCACGUUGGAUCAAAUGGGCCGGCACAGAUAUGGGCUUUUACGAUUGUCGGUAUAUAUUAUAUAUCUUGAUCUGGAUCUGUUACCCAUAGCCCAUAGGUCACCAACCAUUCAACCAUCAACCAAGACCAUUUCAAUCUUUCACGAGGACUCAUGAGUCAUAAGUCACACAACCAAAAGCUCAAAAGUUAAUUGUUAUUUUAGUUACCUACCACCUUGAUAGUUGACUAAUAAAAUAUUAUUAAUUUUGACUUUGUUGGUUAAGCUUUGUGAUUUACAUAGUCUACUCUCAAGUCUUAACCUGAUCAGCACCUAUUCACAGAACAGAACAGAACCUGACCUGAACCAAACUGAUAGUGAUAGAAAUGCUUAAUUAGAAACUGCCAAACCGGUCGAGAUUCACAUAACGGUAAUCUGAAUAAGAAUGCUGUGUCGUCAAAGUUGAAGGAGUUUGAUUUAAUUUGCAGAUCACUGAUUAUUUUUAUCGAUUGUAGUCAACGAGUGAUUAUUCAUAUAAAAUUAUGUGGACUUAUGAGAGAAAUAUAAACAUAAAUCAUGGGGGAGCAACACUUGACAAAGUCUCACAGGACACAGGCAGGGUUAUGUCAUCCUUUCAGCUUCAUAUUAAAAUCAAAGAACUUUAACAUAUAGUAUUCAAUCUGAUAUUCAAUCUCCUUUUAGUCUAUGAUGUGAUUACAUGUACUCAUCGCGGAGGAAGACAAAGAAUGUAAUUAGUACUGAUCAUGAAGAUUACUCCUCAUUAGCCAUAAACAUGUCUUAAAAGUUAAAGAUAGUAUAUUAAACCAUUACAAGGUAGGUAUGGAUUUUUUUUGUUUAUAUUUAUUAACAUCGGCAUCUGAGAACCGCUCUCCUUUGUCUUUGAAUGUCAUCGUGGUUGAGAGAUCUUGAGAUCUAGCCCAAGGUCCAUACCAUUGUAAGCGAGCGGAGCAUACAUCCACAUAUCAUCAGAACUUAAGAGCUGCAAAUCGAAUUCCAAACAAGAUGUAAGACAAUGUGGAAGUAAAAACUGCUAGUAUCAUCUAAAUGAAAUCGAUUAAUUUAAAACUAAAGCAAUUCUGUUUCUCCUUAUACCGUACCUUGAUUUGGACUUGCAGAAACUUUACGUAGUGAACAGCUUCUUCAAGCAUAGUACUAAUGUCAACCUGCGAUACCAUCACAGAAACAAUAAGUUUGAGGAUUUUCAGGCCUUUCAGCACACCAGCAUUGCUUGCAUGAAAUAUGCUUAUUAUGUAAUACUUACUUUUGUUCCAUUCGGUACUAGGUUCUGUAGGAUUCUCAACCUUUCAUUUAUCCUUUCUCGUCUUUUCUGGUAAAGUAAUUUGGAAAACCAAUGGUUUAGUUUGUUGCUUGACAAGCUCAUAUCAGGAAUCAAAAUUUAAGUACUUCUCGCAAUUUCUUACCCUUGCAUAGAUGCUUUGAGGGUCGGUUGCAGAUCCCCUACCAGCUCUAGUUUUGCCAUUCAUGUCAAGAGAUUCAGAGACUUUACAAUCAGCCUCCACUCCAUUUACCUCUUGUGGAACAUUCGUAUCAUCCUCAGAGAUGUUACUACUAGAGCUCUGCCCAUUCAAGUCAGCACUUAUCUCUUCAUCAUUGUUACUGGCUACGGUGAUCGCCUUAUUCUUCUUUGGUUCUACAUUCUUCUUGUUCUUUCGAGCCUGUGGAGUUAAAUUGUAAUAAACAGUUAAACAACAUAACCAAUAUGAUCAGCAUUGCAAUGAAAAGGGAACACAGCAAACAAGGUCAAAUAAAACUUCACAUUAUACUCACAGAUCCUGAAGCUCGAGAUUUUUUCUUAGGAUUCUCAGACAAAAUGGCAAUGCUUUUAUUUUCAGUGUCUGUUUCCAGUUGAGUCAUUUCAGAUUUCCUUUUUGGUUGCGAUUUUGAAUCAGGAGAAGAAACAGCAUUCGAUGGAUGUCCUUCAGUCUCUCCCAAACUAUCGGAGAUUUCUUGGCUCAAGCAAGCAACCUCUUCCAUUACAUUGUCAGAAAUAACCUUACAGGGGAAGCUUGGAUUCUGCUCCUCCAUCAUACAGAAGUCCAUGGGCAUGACAUUGUUAUUAUCAAUCAAAAUCGAACUAGCAUUGUUUAAGUGAUAAUUCUCUUGUUCAAUAUAUGGGAGAAAUACACUAGCGCUAUUACUACAUCCUUUAGGAAAGUAAUCAGAAUUAGAGUUAGCAUCAUGACAGAAGUAUAAAUUUUCAUCUAACCCAACUGCAGUCGUAAUAGGCUCAUGGCAGGGCCAAAAUGUGGAUGCAAUAUUUGCCAAGCUCAAACUUCCGUCUUCUUGUUCACUUUGAAAGGCAUAGUUACCAAUAAACUGUGACAUGAAACUGGCUUCGUCAGUGGAGAUCAUUCCACCAAAGGAACUCCAUUCACCCUCAGAUAUUGUUCCUAAACUCGCCAUUCUUCCUUUCUUAAACUUGAAAUAGGCAAAAGAGAUGAAUUUUUUUUGGUUAAACAACAGUUAGGAGAAAGCUUGGCUUGCUUGAUACUUAGAGGACAAACAAAAUUCUGUCAUAUUUAUACCAACUCCUCCUGAGGAUGUUACACUCAUCAGUUGACUUCAUUUCUAUAAUGAAUUUCAAAUUCUUAAUUCCUAAUCAUUGAAGGAAGGGAGUUCAAGUAUUAUGUAUCCUAUUGCACGAGUCCACGGUGGGGUCGACACGGAGCAAAGACAACUCAGAUAAGGCCAAGUUCAGGCAAUUAUAGACUAAAAUAAAGCAACCUUUCAACAACCUUAAGCGUCUUCAAAAUGCUUACGAAACACAUUCAAAAUGAUUAAACACUCUCAAAACAAUCAUUGAAAUAAGACCAAAGGUGAUUAACUGAGUUGUAAGAUUGGUAAUUAAUGGAGACAAAUUGUGACUGAGAAUGUUAAGAGGGAGCACAUACAGUCUGGCAUUUGUGAGAACGUGGGGGUCUAAUUGAAUAGAAAAAGGUAAAAGCAUUCCCCUUGAGAGUUAUUUAACAUAGAUAAAUCGAGAAUUGUCGCACUGGACGGCGAGAUCGUGGUGAUUGGUCUGACAUCUUAAAAGUACGCGCGAAUAGACAGUAUACACGUCGACGUUGAUCUUGUCCCCUUUGAUGCUUCUACCUAACCAUUGCUUUUCCCCUUUAACACCUUAUAUAUUGUAUCAGUUAAUUCCAUCAGUUAAGGACCUUUAGUAAAAGAAAUUAAACAGGCUCUUGCCAACGAUAUUCUCAAAGCUGACUCUAGAAUAUGGAUUUCCCUUGUUACAGUGAGAUUGGAAACUGUAUUACAUCCAACCAAACCUCCAGCCAAAUUGCGAAAAAAAUUCACAUAACAUGGGAAAAUCAUAUUUUCUUUCACUCUUCCCGCUUUUAAAUCCAACACACCCUAAGAGUCAGAAAACUAGUCUGGCCAUUAACUUCACUAAAGGAGCACAGAACACUGAAAGAUGAAACCCAAAGAGCAUUCAAUGGAUUAAAAUGCCCCUGUGACUUAAGGAAUAACGAGACACCGUAGUAACCUAGUCUAAGGAGUAAUUGUGUCAUUUCACAAAGUUGACCGUUAUUUAAACUUCUUUUUAAAAUUGGCGCCAAUUAAACAAACAUUUUUCUGGACAAUGUAAGUCAAACCAGCUACUUAAAUAUGGAUCGUAGUACCAUGGUACUUUGUAUCUUUCACCUAAACCAUAAGAUUUCUCAAUUACUUUUAAACCCCACAAGUGAAGACACCUGAUAUUGUGCCGAUAACUAUGGAAAUGAUUCUAGAAUUGCUUGUUCAUUAUUUGAAAUUUACUGUCCACUUAUUGGAUUCAUGAAUCAAGGUGUAAUGGUGUAUUGAAAAUCUUUAUUCUUUGAAGUUUGAUGAAGUGGCCAUUGCACAUUUGCACGACAUCUCUACGCAAACAUGUUAAUCAGUAGACAGUAGAUAAGAGAAUAAAAUCUACUUCACUGCCAAACUCUUGAAAGACAUAAUCUGAUUUUUUUGGUGUGUGUGGCAUUUUUAUUUGAGUUUGGCCGGCUUGCACGACCUUAGCCUCAGUGUUCUUGAAAGCUGUCAUUCCCUUUGCAUAUAACUAAAAAUCUCAAUAGACAGCUUAUAAACUUUCAAUUUUAAUUACAUUAGCUUUACUUUGCCUUUUCUUUUGUGAAGAGGCACCGAGAGCCGUGAAGCUGACACAUCUACCACUAGUUUAUAGACACGAGGUUCUUAAAUCUUAAUCAAUAAAUUCAGUGAAUUGCAUUACGUUACUUGAUGAAAAAAAUGUCAUGUCAUCUUUUCUCAUGAAUGACUGGCAAGGCAGUUUGUAGCGGGGUUGUCUCUCGUAUUUGUUUUAGUAUUCGUGGAGCUUUUUUAUAACAGAAAUGCAUAUUCAUUCUGUUUUCCCCCUUGGGUCACCUGUUAUCAAGCAAAUUUUUAUUUCUCUAGAGAAAAAUAAGCAUUAUGGAGAAUUCCUAUAAUAACAAUUUGUUGUCAUCAGUGUUGAAAUUAUGUAUACUUUUACUUUGUUUAUUGCUCCAAAACCAUGAUUAAGUAAUGACUUAUAUAAACACCAUGAUUAAGGGAUAAUAUAUAUUUAGACUGGCAGGUUAUCUUAGAGAAUCAUUUUAUUCUCUAAGAUAAGGAGCUUACAUUAAUAUAAAGUUAUAAACAAAGUAUGUCCCUGUGGUUUAUUGCUUCAAAACAAUAAUUAGUGAUAACAUAACUUCCCAAAAUCAUGACUAAGUGACAACAUAACCCAUAUACUUAAAUGCAUAUAUACAGCCUUCCUUCUUCACCAACUCUCUGGUAGAUAUUAGUUAUUACUUACUAGACUUCUUCAAAGUUCAAACUACAGUUUUCAACCUUCACAAACUGUGACCAAUGUCGAAAUGGCAGCUAUGUUUUCAUUGCAUUUGUAUAAACCCUAAUAGAAAUUGUGAAGGUCAUCUUCCAAGACAACUAAUGCCUAAAAACUCAUAUACCUGUACCAAACACAGCAUGAAUGUUACUUAUCAGUUAUCGCACGUCUACAGUUCUAUGCACCUAACAUUUUUACCUGCCACACACAUCUAUACACCUACCAGGUAUAUCAAUGUGACUUCCUUGCUAUUAAUAAAAUGAACAGACUAAUUCCAUGAAGGUGUCGACUGGUACUGUGGUCUUUAUAAGGGAUGGAGAAUAUUGUUCUUUAAGAAAGAAAUAAGUAAACAUAUAUGCAUGAGUGAGCUCUCCAAAGUCCAAUGUACAAAUUUAUUUUCUUUAUGGAAAUUAUUGUUAAACUAAAUAUAAAUAAUUACUCAGGAGUGAGCUCUAUGAAGUCCAACCUCCAAAGUCCAAAAGAGUUCUUUCCAGAAAAAGUAGAAAAUUGUACCAAAAACUGUAUGCCUCACGCCAAUGACCCAUUCAUGAACACGAUAUAUAUAUAUAAGUUUUAUAAUUAAAAUUUAUUUUAAUUUUUUAAUUUAUGAAAUUUCAACUAGAAUCUAAAAGGCGUGAAGAAGGAAGACUGCUAGGAAUACGAAGGGCGUCUAUUAGCUGGGCUUGAAAUAUCUAUCAAUCCACCAUACAAAGGUUACCAAGUUGACUCUCAAUCAAGAUAUAAUUUGCAGGUUUUGAUUGAAGAAGCCCCCUGGGAACAGUUGAACAUCUGUUCCAGAACGUUUAAUGACUAGGGGCUUCAAAUUAUAAUCAUUAUUAAGCAAGUCAUUUUAGCAAAUAAGAGUUGUGAAUUGUGAACUGAUAAAAUGGAAAAACCAUAACCAAAUUUCAAGAAAUUCAUAAUCGGAAGUUUGCAGGCAAUCAGAAAAGAAAUUGCAAAAGAACAGCUUCAUAACCAUUUUAUAUUUUUAUGUCAGCAGUUACAUGAACAGGUAAAACAGUAUAGCCAGUCAGCAAGACUAGUCAUGUUACACUGGGUACUAUUGCCCUUUUCUGAACCAUCUUGCAGACAUCUUUUCUUUUUCAUUCCAAUUAUGGUUGUUAUAAUGCCUAAAGCAGCAAAAUUCUCCUGCCAUCCAAGUUAAAAUAGGGAGGAAUGUAAAACUCUUUUACCUUUCUUCUUUCUCACUCUCUUCACAUUUUAACCCCAAAAAUGAAGUCUCCGAGUUCAGAGAGGUAUCUUUGCUUUAAAAUGCUUCCUCAGAAGUCAGAACUGUUAUAACAUUGAUGUAGGCUUACAAAGGGGACCAUAAGAUUUACAAAAAGUUCUACAGGUAUAGAAAAUUCUCUAUUGCAACAAGAUGUCUAGAUAUAUAAUAGGCCUCACAAUAAGUCUCAACUGGAUUUGGUUCACAAUGACGACACAAUAAAAUAUAUGCGAGAUAGUAGAAGACAAAUUUUUUAGUAAACCACAACUUCAAUAAAAGCAUAAGAAAUUACUUACUGGCGUUUGUCAUCUUGAAGAUUUCCGACAAGACUGCUCUGCGCUAGCCUAUAGUAUAAAACACCCAUUGUUGCCAGACAUGCCCUGAGGAAGAUCAUAGCCUACAUGAAUCAUCUAAAAAAAAGACUGUCUCACAAUGUUUAAAUUUAUGCCUUGUGAGUUAAUAUAUGUAGCUGGAGGUGUAAAAUACUUUGUACGGUGGGAGUAUGGUUUAUACUCCACCAAGUGGCAAAAACUGCAGGAUGGUCAGGACCAUCCUCUGCGAUAAGAAUCGCAGAGGAGAUCUGGAAAAAUCAUCCAAUUAGAUGAUCCUAACUACCCAAGCUUUCAUUCAAGAAACACUAUGUGGAAAACAAUCAAGUGAGAAUGAAAUCUACGAAAUUGAUGGCUGUCUGGCUGUCCGCUCUAGAUAAAUACACUUUGACCUAAACAAGUACCUUGCGGGGUUGUACUAUGUGAGAAACCAGACAAUAUACACCAAGCAUGCAGAAAAAGCAUAGCAAGCAGAGAUGUUUUUCUUCUUCACUCAGAACAGUAUAACUCCAGUAACUAAAGAUGUCAACUUUUGUCUGCCUCUGCCAACAAAUUUGAAGCCAUUACGAGGAGGAUUUUUCUUAAAUUCAUCCUUGUAGUCUUUGAUGCAACGAGUGGAGCUUGGAAAUAUCAUCUAUGUUGGAUGCAUAUUUUUGUGGAGGUGCAGUGACUGGAAGAGUAGGUAGAGCACUAGACCAGAAAACGACCUUGGAAACUUCUGACAAAAAGAACCUGCAAUUUUUAAACUUACUCAAAUUACACAUUUUUCUGAUACAAUCAUGUUGAAGAGAGGAGAAAGCAUGAAAGUUCAAAUAAGAAGUAGUGAAUUCAAAGAACACCAAUACACGAGAACUUCUAUAUCGAAAGCAUGUCUCAGCCUGAUGAGUGUGCACAUGUAGACAUAAGCAGAACAUAAUUUGUGGACCACACACACACAUGUUACUCUUAUACUUAACCUGACUGAAUUACUGAAACAUAAGAUCAAGUAGCCCGAAUACGCAAGCAACCCAGUCGAGUUGUUAUAGAAUCAGCUCCAUCUUCAUGCACAGUCUGGCACAGGCUGCAUUUAGGAGCCAGUCAUACUCACCAUCUAUUACCCAUUGGGAAUAUGUGCUUACCUAAGAAAACGAAACAUUAAGGGUGUGUUUGAUUGCUUAAGUUUUCCCAUUGUAGUGAGAAAACUUAAGCAUUUUCUCACUGGACUGUCCAGUGGAAAAUAAACACUGUUCACGUGUUUGAUUGCCAAUUUAAGUGGGUGGAAAAGAAAAUGGUAUUUUCCCAUCGUAUACCAAUUUUCCACUAUACAGUGAGAAAAGAUUUUCUUAGCUCCCCCUAGUAAUUUAAAAGGUGGGAAAAGAGGCUUAUUUUCUCACUUGAGUGAGAAAAUAACUUAAACAUUUUCUCACCUCUUACAAACCAUUGGAUUGAUAUUGAAGGAUAUCUAGCCAUUGAUUACAUUAUGAUUAUACAUUUGAAGUUUUAGAUUGUUGCUUUCAACCUUGGUGGUGGUAGAUUUGGAGUUUUGGGUGUAAAUUAUAAUUUUUUGGUGGUUGGUUUCAACUUUUGGGUGGUGAAAUCAAACAUUGAGUUAGUGGGUUUAUUGUUUUGUAAGUGGAUUUAAAGUUUUGAGAUAUGGGUAUUAGGGUUUUUAGUGGUGGAGCUCAAAUUUUGAGGUGGUGGUUGGUGUAUUUUCAUGAUGUUUAAGUCAAAUUUAAUCAUUUAAAUGAUGAAUUAUAUAUUGUUGGUGUUAAUUUCAUGUUUUAAACUUGGAAAUUUAACAUUUUGAUUUCAAAAUCUAUGAUUGUGGAGGUUGAUUUCGAAGUUUAGGUGGUGGAUCUAUGAUUUUGGUGGAUUAUUUCAUCAAUUCUUUCUUAAUUUCUCAUUGUAAUCAAACAAAACAUGUGAAAAAAUAAUUAGAAUUCUCAUUGUCGAUCAAACACCCUUAUUUGAUCAAGUGAGAAAACUUAAAAAUAUUUUCACACUGAAGUGAGAAUUUUUUUUAAGUCAUUCCCACUAUAGUGGGAAAUUAAUUAGAAUUCCCACUGAAGUAAUUCUCACUCCCUUUUUUUCCCACUCUGCAAUCAAACGCACCCUAAGAACAAUCUGUAUGUAUCUCUGAAGGGGUAGAGUAGAAUAUAGCUUAAUGAAAAAGUGAAUAUGUAAAAGACAAUAAGCAUAGGAACCCUAUCUGUAAUACCUGUACUAUUAGGUGGCAGCACAGUGUUCAGCACAGUGUUUAUUUUAAUUUAAACCAGAACCUGUUCACAUUAGAAAGAAGAACCGACUUAUGUUAAGGAAUUUAAACCGACUUAUUCAAAGGAUAUAUAUGCUUAUGUUUGCUGGUAUACACAGUUAAUGAGAAGAAGAAAAAUAACCUGUUAGUGAGUUCACACUAUAGAAUUUCAAGAAAGAGAAAAGUUGCCGAAAAUUUGUAAUAAGAAGAAGAAGGCUAAGGACUUGGAAAUUGUAUGCUUUAGUGCUUGGAAUUUGCGGGUUGCUAUUCUUUUUUGAUAAUAGCUUAUCACUAUAGUGUUUUCUUCGCGAAGCGAAGUAAGUUGCAUGAUUUGAUAUCUUCUCUUGCUUUUAGGAGAUAAAUGAAGUUAGUGGGUGUAAUAGUAUGCUAUUGUUGUACUACAAUUUCGGCUAUGCAUAUUAAUUGAAUUUGUUUGAUUUUGAUUUCAUGAAAUUGAUAUCAUUAUUCGGUUAUUGUUGGAAAAUUGAUAGGAAAGCAUGUUAGUGUGUUGAUUUGAUUCUAACAUGAUAUUGAUUGUCAUAACUCUUAAUUGACGCUGCAAUGAAUUAUUAAAUUAUUGGUGAUAUUAUUCAUGUAUCAUUUUCAUGCCAAAGGUGAGAUUGCAUAUUUUGAAAUUUAUGCGUAUUGAUAGUUAAGAUGCAUUCAAUUUGAAUGAAUGGAUUGAUUUGUGUGGAAAGGGCUUUCGAGCCAGAGACUGUUUUGAACAGUCUGAAUUUGGGGAGACGUCCCUGGAGUGUACGGAGAGUAUUGCUCGGUGUCGCAUACAGAAGUACACUCAGUGGUGCUAUGUCACCAACCUUAUGAGCCUGCGGAGAGUAUUGCUCGGUGUCGCAUACAGAUGCAUGGCUGGGGUACUGCGGUACCAGAUGAUUUGAUAUCAGAUGGAUGGGCUUUAUGCCGUGUGUGUGAUGAUUAGAUUGUUUAUUGAUUCGAGUUGCUGGAAUUGAUAUAAUGAUUAUAAUUGAUACAUGUAUUGUAUUGCUAUAUUUUAUUGGGUGCGCCGAUUCCGUCCCUGGGAUCAAGAUCGGAUAUCAAGUUGUGUAACUUGCUAGCGUUUAAUCGCUCUUUUUCCCUUCCUUCCAGGAAACAGGUAAAGCGAUUCUCGGAGCGUGCGAAGAGGAUCUAGUUGGAGAUAGUUAGCUAAGCAGGUGCUCUAAGUUGUAGUUAGUCUUUUGUUAUCAGUGUAGCCCUUGGGGCAGACACAGUAUGUUAUCAUUUCAGUUGUGUUUUUCUUUCAGUUCAAUCCUUGUAUUUAUGUAAAUACAGAGUUUGGUUUUGAAAUAAAUCUUCCGCUGUUGUUUCGUUCGAAUUCUGUUCGUAUUAUCUUUUAUUAUUCUGUCCUUACAUGGAUAUUGGAUUUGGAGCUUGGUGUCACGUGGCAGUAGUGUGAACCUACGGUCCAUGGUGGACAUAUGGAGAACAUUACGACUCUGAAGUCUGGUCUUAGCCUGAUCAACUAGGAUUGGAUUUUGGGGGCGUCACACUAUCACAAGCAUGCAGAUACGAUGCAUGCAAACUUCACUCGCAACAAGUACGUAAAGUAAUAAUUGGACAUGCAGAAUGCAGAUAUCAAAAGUAAAGCUUGACUUAUGGCCUGGAAAUGAAACUUUCAUAUAUUGAUUAUAAAUCAAUAGUGAAAAAGGAGAAACAUAACAAAAUUUACAUAAUUAUAGACUGUUAUUAAGGAUAAGUUAUGCUCACAAAGAAACAAAUAGAAUAAUCUGAACAUAAAUUUUUCAAGUAAAGGCUAAAACCAUCAAAAACUGAUUUCAUAGAAAUAUAAUAUAUCACUUCUAGCAAUAAAAAGUUAUACUCAAAUAAGCCUAUAUUGUUAAGCCAAAUCAUGAGGUGUAAACUCUUGCUGCUUUAAAGUUUAAUCGUUUCUAGCCGUAUAGACCAGGCACAAAGUAACAAUAAACAAUCAUAGGCAGAUCCAUUCACAUCCAUCAAAGAAGAAACUAAUUACAUCCAUUAAAGACGAAUCUAACCACAUCCAUCAAAGAAGUACACAGCUCCUUGGAGGUGGCCAAAAUUUGAUGGUGUUCCAACUCCAACUUGAGGUAGCAAACAAUUCCUUCAGUGAAACAGAGACAGCAUAAAAAUAUUAUGCCCCCUGAGAAAAUUCCCCAUCACUAAACUCUCACAUUAGCCUAGUUGAAACUUGUAAAAUCAAAUUAAACAUGCCACAAAUAUGGCAACAGCUUGAUCAUGAGAAUGGAAGAUAAUGCACGGAGCCAGAUUGAUGUAUGGCAUUUUCAUAAUUUCUGUAAAGGGCAUCAAUAAGUCUCUUGGACCAAGGGAUCAUCUGACUAAUCUACAUGAGAAAUAUUUUGUGUCCACUUCCUGGGUCACACUGGCUUCAGUAGGUUAAUAUUAGCAGACACAACAUAAUUGUCGAGUGAGGAACACCAUUCUGGCAUGAACGUUUGAGGCAGUAAUUGCAAAUCCAGGGGCAAACAGACUCAGUUGGUAGGGUGAAUAUUCUUAGAGUACGUGUUGAGAAUUCGAGAUUUAAUUCAAUUUCGACAAUGUCUCAAUCACUCAGAUGGAAAUGUUUCAUCUUUCAAGCAUUUAAACUUCAUUUCUGGAAAAUAUUACAAUCUUAUACAUUUAUAGUGCAAUACGCACAUAAAACAUAUUGCUUUGAAUAUCGAGAUAAUUACAACGUUUCCUGACUAUAUAGUAUUACACCUAAUGGUAUGUACACACAACUUUUCAUUCCUUUCUUGUUUCUUAUGCACGUGGCUAUUGUAAUUGAAUGACUUUACCUAAUUUCCUACUAAUAGAUUGUCAUUAAUUAGCAUGAAGUGCAAUAUAAGGAAUCAACAAAACAAGUCACUAGCUUCUUCAUUGAUCACUUCAGUGUCCAAUGCCCUAUCCUUUGUUUUCCUUUUACUUUUUGUUUGACAUUAAUUUUUCCAAUAGUAUAUCGAUGCAACGUCAGUUCAUGAAACUCUUGCCAAUGCCUUGUUGUUGGAAAUUGCAAUAAGGAAAGAAAAUUCCUAAAGGAACUUAAACCUCAACUAACAUUACUUCCAAAUUCAAAACCUAAACUAAAGAAAAAGAAUGUAUCUAUGUCUCAGCGUCUCGCAACAUUUUCAUAACAAAGAAAAGUAUUGUAUAAUUAAAUUGCAUAAACAACAAUCUUAACUUAUGAAACAAUAUAAUUCAAAUUCAACAGUUACUUACUUACUUACUUACCACGCAAAUUCGGUACUUAUGAAAAGAGAUACAUUCACCACAAACAGAUACCUUGUCAAAAUAUUAAAGCUUGGUUGCCUGAAUACCAAACCUUAAUCAUAUCAGUAUUUAAUUGUAUUAGGGCAUAAUAACAACACAGAUUGAAUCAAAAUAACUAUAAAAUUGAAGUUAAAUCUUUGUAAUCUUAAACACUUCGUUUCUACUCUAAUCGUAUUACCUAGAAAGUAAGUAGUAGUAGUUAUACUAGGGUGAUUUCGAAUCAAAAACAGUAAUCAAGUGAUCAGAGUUAGAGAAGUGAAACUGGAACUUGUGAUCUUUAUCGUAAUGUUGUAAGCUUUAACGUGAAAUGGAGAUAAUGAAGAAACGUAUACCUUUACGACAUUUGCAGACUACCAUUGCAUCAGUUUGCUUGAUUGCAGAAUCGAAGAACAAGAACUCGAGAGAGAGAGAGUUGGAGUCGAGAGACUUCGAAACAUGUUAUUUCUUGCCGGAAAAAAG
rnacentral:lncRNA from 1 species